rnacentral:rRNA from 1 species
UACGAAGGUCCCAAGCGUUGUUCGGAAUCACUGGGCGUAAAGGGAGCGUAGGCGGCGUGGUAAGUCAGAUGUGAAAUCCCGGGGCUCAACCCCGGAACUGCAUCCGAUACUGCCAUGCUAGAGUAAUGGAGAGGUAGCUGGAAUUCUUGGUGUAGCAGUGAAAUGCGUAGAGAUCAAGAGGAACACUCGUGGCGAAAGCGAGCUACUGGACAUUUACUGACGCUGAGGCUCGAAGGCCAGGGUAGCGAAA